CCCGGCGCUCCGGCUCCGCUCAGGGCGCCCGCUCAGGGGCCUCCGGCGCGAGGCCCCCUUUCUGGUCAAGAUGGCGGCGCCCAGGCGGGCCGCGCCGAGGUGAGCUGGAGCUGGGCCCGGAGAGCGACGAGUCUGCCACGCCCAGGACUUGGACCCCGGGCUGGUCUCCAGUCUCCCGGGGAGCGGCGGGUUAAUUAUCGGGGAAGAGUAUUGUGCCAGCACACUUGAUGCUACAGUAUUGCAUGUUUGACAGGACUAUUUAUCAAGGAUCUUCCUGUUCUCUAUGCUUGGACGUAUCACUGAAUAAAUUAGACAAGAGCCUUUGCCUGCGUGCUCCUUCUUGCAUGCUUUCUCCCUCCUUACACUCUCGUGUGGAAACGGAUGUUAUAAAUAAAUUCUAUGCUUUGUCACAAGUUGAUGGGCGCCACGGGAUAAGGAAAAGGAUGUGAAGCUCACUGAAGAGGCUUGGGUUGGGAGUGCUGGAGGAGUGUACAGGUGGGGAAAAUGUACCAGCGUGUAUGCCUACUGGGACCACGUUUUCCAGAACAGUUAAGCCCAGUGUCAACUAUGCUGUCCCACCUUCCUCAUGGAAAACAGUCGGGCGACCUCAGGUUGGCCAACUGCACCCCUCUCUUGGAUUUUGAAUUACAAAUAAAUGAUGUAAAGAAGCAAGGCCAGCAGUGCUGAGUCAACCUCCUGUUUCCUGUUCCUGCUUGGUAGCAAGGCCAGCUAGGACUUAUAACAUCACUUUGGCCUGAUCCUAUAAUUGCAAUAGCGUAGCCUUGGCUUUCGGUUGUUUAGUCUGCUUCUAGUUACUGAGACCUAACCAUAAACCUCCAAACGUUUCCUUUUCUGCUCAAAUUAGCCGUAUCUGGUUCCUGAUGAUUACAAAUAAGACCCUUCCUGAUAUACAAUUGUGACCUACUUAUCCAGGCAGAUGUAACAUCGUCCUGGCAGGGACAGAGGGCAGGCAAGUUCCUUGAACAGGUGAACAAGAAGAAAAAGACCUAAGAAGGAAGAAUUGAAGCCAGUUCUGCUUGUGUUAUAAUUCUACCCUCAGCUGCCUCUGUUUCACAGACCACAUGCUAAGGACCAUGUCCCUUCGCCUGUAACAGACGAGCAAAGUAGACCCAGGCCUUCCAACCCAGAGACCAGCUGAGCUGUACCAUGGACAAUCUAGGAUGUGAAAGACUUCAUUCAAUGUCUUUGUCACUUGACACAUUGUUCCUCUCUUUGGGAAGUAGCUUCUUUGUGUGACAAGAAUAUGCUAAACCAACACUUAAGUGGACAGAGGUGAAAGAUGCCAAAAUUAGCUACAGAAAAAAAGGCGUAAAGACUUGUAUUUUCUGUUAUUUGAAGGUGUUAAGACCCCACAUAGAAUAUGAGUCCUUUAAAGGAAAGUUGUGAAUGGCCCAGGGAAUGUUGCAUUUCCAUGUGGCAAUAUGUUCUUGAUCGGUCGUGAUGAUGAUGAUGGUAGCAUCAGUAGCAUUUAUCAGUGUUUCCUGGGUGAGAGGCACUUUAUCCUAAUGACCUUUUAUCCCCAUGACGACCCUGUGAAGUAGGAAAUACUGUUUCAGCAUCUUCAGGGUUUUUCUUUUUCUUUUUUUUUUCAUCAGGAAUUUACCCUAGAUCACAGUUGGGUGGUAGAACGACCAGAACUGGACACUAGGCUUUCCUGAAUUCCCAGAGUGUGAUCUUAGCAGUUGUAUUGCCUGAUGCAGAGCCAUGUAAAUGUUGCCAAAGCAAUGAAACGUGUACCUAUUUCUAAGACAUUCUAAGUCAGAAGCUCUGGGGUUAAGUGCAGAGCAGUUGAGUGUGAUUGUCUUUACAGACAGUAGAUAACUUAAGAGAAGUUGUUUAAAAGUAUAUUUGCAUAUUGCACUACACUGUCAUAUCUGUGACUGGUUAGCUAUUGAGUAACUAACACAAAUCCCAAUCCCAUCUCUAAUCUCAUUCAUCUCUUGUAUGAUAUUUGACCUAAUUGAGGCAGUAUUUUUUUUUGUUCUUUCCCACAAACACACAUCGAACAUCCAAAACAUGCUUACCAUUUGUGAGCAUAUUCUCUUAGUUAUUUAGCAGUUGAGUAAGAGUGAGAGAGAAGGGCUUCCCUGGUGGCGCAGUGGUUGAGUGUUCUGCCUGCCGAUGCAGGGGACGCGGGUUCGUGCCCCGUUCCGGGAAGAUCCCACAUGCCGCGGAGCGGCUGGGCCCGUGAGCCAUGGCCACUGAGCUUGCGCGUCCGGAGCCUGUGCUCCGCAACGGGAGAGGCCACAACAGUGAGAGGCCCGCGUACCGCAAAAAAAAAAAAAAAAAAAGUGAGAGAGAAAAAGACACAUAAAUAUGAAAUACGGUCAUCAUUUUUUUAAUAUCCUUUAUGUUGUUAAUCCCUCUUAGCAUUUACUGCCAUUCACUCAUUUGUAUUAUUUGGGGUAUAGCAGUUUAUUCACACAGCAUUUUUACAUAUGGCUUAUCAUUUGUAUUCUAUUUUAAUAACACUAAUAAUUAUAGACUAUUGACAAACUCAUCAGACCCUACAUAUUCAUUUCAAAAUCAUGAAAAUAAGGUGGAAAAUGAGGUGUAAAGUGGAAAAUCUAUGUGUAUGUUUUCAUUGGUGGAAUGAGGAGUUACCUGAAUAUCACUCCUUUAGCUUUUCCUUCAAAUGGUGCACUUUUUCCUCCAUGCAUAGGAGUCCCUUCCAUUAGGUAAACAGUAGUCUUGAGGGCAAACCUCAGAAGUAGAAACAGGAGAACUUUUCAGUUAUGGUAAAAUCAAACAUAUUUUUCUUCAGUAGUGAAACAAAAAUUCUUCAUGAGAAGUUCAACCACCGUGAGUUCCAUGGUGAAAAACUUUCCACUUAUUGAUGCAACUUCCCCCAGAAUUCUGAGAAAUGUCGGUAGUAGAGAGGGGUGUUGCAUACACCUGUUUCAUUUCCCUCUGACUUUUCCUUCUCCUUUCUCUAUUGACAUUAAAAUCUAUAGUGAAAGCACAUAGUAAGCAGUCUAGGACAAUUGAUAUGACAUUUGAUCUAAAUCUCCAAAGUCUAUUUUAGAUGGGGAUGCUAUGAGAGUCACAGGAGGGGAAAAAAUCUAGAAUUAUUCUUAUGUGAUCAAAUGUACUAAAAUAACAAAAGCAAAUCUUAUUUCUAGCGAAUAAAAUCACAUUCCUUAUAUGAUGUCAUAUUAUGGCAGAAAAGAAAUAUAUGCGUCUGUUUUCUUCUAUAUUAAAACUGCUAAGGAGUGGGGACCAAUGAACUAAAUCAAUUGUUCUGGGUUCAAGUUGUAGUUUUUAGUAGCCAUCCUUCUUAGCAAGUUUUCAGAAGCAAAUGUAGUUCGUGUACUAUCACCACUAA